GAAAUGCGAUAAGUAAUGUGAAUUGCAGAAUUCCGUGAAUCAUCGAAUCUUUGAACGCACAUUGCGCCCUCUGGUAUUCCGGGGGGCAUGCCUGUCCAAGCGUCAUUGCGAACCCCUCAAGCACGGCUUGUGUGAUGGGCCCUCCCGCGUCUUGGUCGUCAAGACGGGCCCGAAAUGCAGUGGCGGCUUCGCGGUUAUCCGAUCAGCCAGAGCGUAUGGGGACUUUCUCUCUGUCACACGCCCGCGGCGCGGACCGACGCCUGUCGACCUUCAUUCAUCGUUUUCUCGGUUGACCUCGGAUCAGGUAGGGAUACCCGCUGAACUUAAGC
rnacentral:misc_RNA from 1 species